UACGGAGGAUCCGAGCGUUAUCCGGAUUUAUUGGGUUUAAAGGGUGCGUAGGCGGGAUGCCAAGUCAGCGGUCAAAUACGGGGGCUCAACCUCCGCCCGCCGUUGAAACUGACGGUCUUGAGUGGGCGAGAAGUAUGCGGAAUGCGUGGUGUAGCGGUGAAAUGCAUAGAUAUCACGCAGAACCCCGAUUGCGAAGGCAGCAUACCGGUGCACAACUGACGCUCAGGCACGAAAGCGUGGGUAUCGAACAGG
rnacentral:rRNA from 1 species